ACGAACGCUGGCGGCGUGCCUAACACAUGCAAGUCGAACGGGGUAUUGAGAGCUUGCUCUUAAUACUUAGUGGCGAACGGGUGAGUAACGCGUGAGAAACCUGCCUCUCAGUGGGGGACAACAGUUGGAAACGACUGCUAAUACCGCAUAACAUAUCCGGAGGGCAUCCUCUGGAUAUCAAAGCUUUAUGUGCUGAGAGAUGGUCUCGCGUCUGAUUAGCUAGAUGGCGGGGUAACGGCCCACCAUGGCGACGAUCAGUAGCCGGUCUGAGAGGAUGAACGGCCACAUUGGGACUGAGAUACGGCCCAGACUCCUACGGGAGGCAGCAGUGGGGAAUAUUGGGCAAUGGGCGAAAGCCUGACCCAGCAACGCCGCGUGAAGGAAGAAGGCCUUCGGGUUGUAAACUUCUUUUACCAGGGACGAAGAACGUGACGGUACCUGGAGAAAAAGCAACGGCUAACUACGUG
rnacentral:rRNA from 1 species